rnacentral:lncRNA from 1 species
UUAAAGGAAAAUCUAGUUAACACUGUAGAGGCCACAUUUAUGACUAUAUGUUAAUGAAUCUUGGUCAGAAUAUUAAUCUUGAUGAUCUAUUGGUCACAUUCAAAUCUGUGUCAGGUGGAGUCAGAAACUAGGUUACUGGAUCAAAUCAAAUAAAAAGCUUGUUAACACUGUAGAGGCCACAUUUAUGACUGUACCUUCAUGAAACUUAGUCGGAAUAUUAAUCUUGAUGAUCUUUAGGUCAAGUUCAAAAUCUAGGUCUUGUGGGAUAGAAAACUAAGUCACCAGGUCAAAUCAAAAGAAAAUCUAGUUAACACUUUAGAGGUCACCUUUAUGAUCAAAUCUUAAUAGACUUGGUCAGAAUGUUAAUCUUGAGUUUAUACAAGUCUGCUACAUGUUGUUUUUUUUGUAUAUAAACAUAGUUUGAUGUUUGACUAAUAUUAUAUACAAAGUGUCUGCCUAAAUAGUAAUGUAUAUAUGUCACACCUCAGGAACGCUGCACACCCCAGGAACAUGGAACAGCCCAGGAACGCGGCACACCCACAGCCCAGGAACGCGGCACACCCCAGGAACAUAGCAAAUACCAGGAACAUGUUGCUUUGCAGGAACAUGGCACUCCCCAGGAACUUGGCACUCCCCAGGAACAUGGCACUCCAAGGAACAUGGCACACCCCAGGAACAUGACACACCCCAGGAACAUGGCACUCCCCAGGAACAUGGUACACUCCAGAAACAUGGCACUCCCCAGGAACAUGGCACACCCCAGGAACAUGACAUACCCCAGGAACAUGGCACACCCCAGGAACAUGACACACCCCAGGAACAUUGCACACCCAAGAAACUUGGUACAACCCAGGAACAUGGCAAACCCCAGGAACGUGGCACAUUGCUUGAUGAGGAAGUUGAGAUGACAAGUGAAACUGAGGAUAUUCAAGUAUCUGGAACGAACAAGAAAACCAAGCAGAGAAAAGAGGUAAAAAAGAUUUGGAGUCAUAUAUGAAGACAAAUGACAUUGGAUGUACCUAUGCACAACUUCGAACAAAAGUGAUGAAUGAGCAAAACAAGAACAGGAUUAAAAUUUCAAAGCGAGUGGAAAUGUUUCAGAAGUAAAUGUCAAACUUAAAACCUGUUCAUAGCAUAAGUUUAUAAAAGUCAGCUGUUUAAAUAUUUUGGAAUUUAUUGCUCUUGAAUAAAAAACAUAUUCAUCAUGUUAAUUGCUUGGGAUAGGUAGAAAGUGAGAAAAGUUGAGCAUGUGGUCUUACAGACAUAUGUUAGUGGUAGUAAACCAUAUAUGUGGACAAGUGAUGAAAAUUGUCUUGUUUAGAGAUUUCGUUACUAUUAUCAUUGACAAUAAUGACAUCAAAAAUGUCAUGUAAUAAUCUGGCAUUUCUGUACCCCAGCUACAUCUAAUAGACAAUUUUAUCAAUUUUUAGUAUAAUACAAUAGUAAUUUAGUAAAACUCAUACUCUCUGAAAGAAGUAAAACUGUUUAAUUUGCUAGUGUUAAAAACCCUGUUUUAGCUUCACUUUUUGAAGAAACCGAGAUUAUACUGUCAUAACCAUUUUGCUAGCAUUGAUAAAGUUUUUUUUUAAUCUCAAACACAAUGUGUAAGGAUGUUAACUGGAUUCAGAUUGUCCGCCAGUCCAUCAGUAGAUGGAAUUUUGUUUUUAUUUCAAAUCCCCUGAUCAGAAUUGGACCAUGCUUCACAGAAUUGAUCAUUACAAUGUGCAUGGGUCGAGGUCUUGGGGGCCCUACAUUGUUAAAUCUUGUUGACACAAAAUCACCAAAACUCUUUGUCAGAUACAUGUAUUCUUUACACAAGUGAUCUAUAGUAAUUGAACAUGGUUAAUGUUUUUGGUCACUAGGUCAAAGUCACAAAGGCUUGAGAUGGUAAAGUCUUUUGUGCUCUAAAGCUCAAAACCCCAGUAUAAACUGUAUCUUCACAGAAGUAAUAUGUACCUGCUGUAUGUUUAGGGUCUCGAGGUCAAAGGAGACCAAUACUAUAUGUUAAAGUUUGCCUACAACCCCAAAUAUUUUUAAAGCUUGAGAAAUUGUUUUGAUAAUGUACAUACUAUUUUGCCAACAUGUCGUCAACCUGUAAACAGUAGUAGGCAACUCUAUUUAGAUUUUUUUCGCCAAAAUUCUGCUCCUUUUUAAACAAUUAAACCUAUGUAAAAAUUUGUAUACAGGAUUAACAAUAGUGAUGUACUGGUUAAAAUAUCUGUGUCGAAUAUCCAGUAUUGCCGACAAUCGAUAAAAUUUUCAGACAAAGGCUAGUUGCUAGGAAUGUUAUGUCUUUUUAUACUUCGAAGAAUUAACAAUCUAAAGUCAUUUGGUCAAAAUAAAAAAAAAUUCUCAAAUAUGUUCGAUAACUUUUUAUGCACCCAAAGGUAGGCAUAUAGUUUUUGAACCGUCUAUCUGUCAUUGCGGGUCAGGUUCAUAGCUUGUCAUUCGUUGAUGGAUUUGGAAAUAACUUGGCGGAAAUAUGUGGCACAUUGAGACAUGUCAUGCUCAAGACCCAGGUCCGAGCUUCAAAGGUCAAGAUCACACUUAGAUGAAAUGAUUAGGCAAAAUGUUUGCACAUUGAGACGACUUCUCACUGCAAGACCCAGGUCUAUAGCUCAAAGGUCAAGGUCACACUUAGACAUCAACUGUCAUGUGUCAUGUAAGUGCAUUGAUGGUGACUAUUUCCAUCACCAAACAACUGAUAUGUGUUUGUGAAUGUUUCUUUACUCCUGUCACACUUUCCCAUAGAUACCAGGCCUUCAUCAGGGGCAUAUGUCUGUUUACAAUGACAGCUCUUGUUCUAUUGCUUAUAGCAUGACAUGUAAUGUAUUACAUUUAUUAAUUAAGUGCUAUUAGAUGUAUAUGUACAUGCCAUCAAAAUAAUGUUAAAUUCUUAAAAAACAUACUAUACUUGAUCCCUUUGAGCAAUCAAUUGUUACUUUUGAUAAUGACUUGCCCAUUUUGAUCAUCAAUAAAUAUUGGUUUGGUUCUGAUUGUCCAACACUAGUUAACAAUAUGAUAGCCAGUACGGAGAAUAGUUAAGUCCACAGACAGCUCUCUGGAUUCUUUCAUUUUGCGGUGUGGUGGAAAACUGCAUAGAGCUUCUGCUAAAUGCAAGACUUAGUAACUACAUAUUCUACAAGAAAUCACUUUUCCCAGUUUUUAUUAUGCCCAGAGGAACUUUGGGGACAUACAGUAAUCACAUUGUCCAUCCGUCCGUCACACACAGCUUGUCCAGCCCGUAACUUUGCUAUGCAAUGUUGGUUUGCAAUAGAACUUGGCACAAGACAUUUGCACAAACUAGAGGAUCCACAUCUGUUUAAAAUACAUCACUGUUGGGCUUGAACAUGAUAGGGACCAUGCACAUUGUGCGUCCAAAAUUCUCUUUGUGCCAACAGGCUUCCUACACUUCAUUAUCCAUUAGAUUUUUAGCUCACCUGUCACAAAGUGACAAGGUGAGCUUUUGUGAUCGCGCAGCAUCCGUCCGUCCGUGCUUAAACUUUUGCUUGUGACCACUCUAGAGGUCACAUUUUUCA